GCGUCAGACGGACAACGCACGAUGCAAGCCCGAGACCCCUCCCUCCCCACGCCGCCACCCACCAUGCCCUCUCCCUCCCCUCACAGCCGUCCCUCUCCCCACCCCCUGGCCCCACCGCACUAAACAGCAGCGACACACCCGUCCCUACCCCAAGGAAUCAAGAGGUCAAUCCCCCUGUGCUUCGACCAUUCUGGACCGUAUGAGUAAAGAUUCCAUUGCGAAGGAGGUGGCGGAGGCGCAAUCGGUACUAACAGUGGACGCCGUGUCUGCUGUAUUGUCAAGGUAAUUUUUCAAUAACACAUCGGGAGAUUAUUUUAUGAUGGCAUGUGGUGCAUGGUCAAACGGGUAAUGCAUGGUGCAGAUUCCAUCGGGAGUUCCACAUCUAUGUGUGCAAUCUUUUUGACACAAGACGUGUAUAUGUAAAUUAGGUCCAAUAAUACCAUGAUUCAGAUUUAGUUGUGUCAAGGCGUUUAGGAAAAAAAUGUCCCUGCUCAUCCAUAGGACCAAAAAUCGUUUCCAGGAUACUAUUUCGCUUUGGUUAGAUAGCUGGUCCAUGUAAUCUUCCUUUUCCUUUACCUCCUUUUCCUUGUCCAUGUUUGUAAAUACUUUCCUUUAUUUAUAAUUUAACCUGGUAGGGGUCUAUCUUUUAUGCC
rnacentral:lncRNA from 7 species